GACGAACGCUGGCGGCGUGCUUAACACAUGCAAGUCGAGCGGUAAGGCCCUUUCGGGGGUACGACGAGCGGCGAACGGGUGAGUAACACGUGGGUGACCUGCCCUCAGCUCUGGGAUAAGCCUGGGAAACCGGGUCUAAUACUGGAUAUGACUCCAUGACGCAUGUUGUGGGGUGGAAAGCCUUGUGCGGCUGAGGAUGGGCCCGCGGCCUAUCAGCUUGUUGGUGGGGUGANGGCCUACCAAGGCGACGACGGGUAGCCGGCCUGAGAGGGCGACCGGCCACACUGGGACUGAGACACGGCCCAGACUCCUACGGGAGGCAGCAGUGGGGAAUCUUGCGCAAUGGGCGAAAGCCUGACGCAGCGACGCCGCGUGAGGGAUGACGG
rnacentral:rRNA from 1 species